rnacentral:rRNA from 1 species
GACGAACGCUGGCGGCGUGCUUAACACAUGCAAGUCGAACGAAGAGCGACGGAAGCUUGCUUCUAUCAAUCUUAGUGGCGAACGGGUGAGUAACGCGUAAUCAACCUGCCCUUCAGAGGGGGACAACAGUUGGAAACGACUGCUAAUACCGCAUACGAUCUAAUCUCGGCAUCGGGGAUGGAUGAAAGGUGGCCUCUACAUGUAAGCUAUCACUGCAGGAGGGGAUUGCGUCUGAUUAGCUAGUUGGAGGGGUAACGGCCCACCAAGGCGAUGAUCAGUAGCCGGUCUGAGAGGAUGAACGGCCACAUUGGGACUGAGACACGGCCCAGACUCCUACGGGAGGCAGCAGUGGGGAAUCUUCCGCAAUGGACGAAAGUCUGACGGAGCAACGCCGCGUGAGUGAUGACGGCCUUCGGGUUGUAAAGCUCUGUUAAUCGGGACGAAAGGCCUUCUUGCGAAUAGUGAGAAGGAUUGACGGUACCGGAAUAGAAAGCCACGGCUAACUACGUG